rnacentral:rRNA from 2 species
GCAGUCGACGACUCUGGUAUUGAUUGGUGCUUGCAUCAUGAUUUACAUUUGAGUGAGUGGCGAACUGGUGAGUAACACGUGGGAAACCUGCCCAGAAGCGGGGGAUAACACCUGGAAACAGAUGCUAAUACCGCAUAACAACUUGGACCGCAUGGUCCGAGUUUGAAAGAUGGCUUCGGCUAUCACUUUUGGAUGGUCCCGCGGCGUAUUAGCUAGAUGGUGGGGUAACGGCUCACCAUGGCAAUGAUACGUAGCCGACCUGAGAGGGUAAUCGGCCACAUUGGGACUGAGACACGGCCCAAACUCCUACGGGAGGCAGCAGUAGGGAAUCUUCCACAAUGGACGAAAGUCUGAUGGAGCAACGCCGCGUGAGUGAAGAAGGGUUUCGGCUCGUAAAACUCUGUUGUUAAAGAAGAACAUAUCUGAGAGUAACUGUUCAGGUAUUGACGGUAUUUAACCAGAAAGCCACGGCUAACUACGUGCCAGCAGCCGCGGUAAUACGUAGGUGGCAAGCGUUGUCCGGAUUUAUUGGGCGUAAAGCGAGCGCAGGCGGUUUUUUAAGUCUGAUGUGAAAGCCUUCGGCUCAACCGAAGAAGUGCAUCGGAAACUGGGAAACUUGAGUGCAGAAGAGGACAGUGGAACUCCAUGUGUAGCGGUGAAAUGCGUAGAUAUAUGGAAGAACACCAGUGGCGAAAGCGGCUGUCUGGUCUGUAACUGACGCUGAGGCUCGAAAGUAUGGGUAGCAAACAGGAUUAGAUACCCUGGUAGUCCAUACCGUAACGAUGAAUGCUAAGUGUUGGAGGGUUUCCGCCCUUCAGUGCUGCAGCUAACGCAUAAGCAUUCCGCCUGGGGAGUACGCGCAGCUGAAACUCAAGAUGA